rnacentral:rRNA from 1 species
GAUGAACGCUGGCGGCGUGCCUAAUACAUGCGAGUCGAGCGAACAGACGAGGAGCUUGCUCCUCUGACGUUAGCGGCGGACGGGUGAGUAACACGUGGAUAACCUACCUAUAAGACUGGGAUAACUUCGGGAAACCGGAGCUAAUACCGGAUAAUAUAUUGAACCGCAUGGUUCAAUAGUGAAAGAAGGUUUUGCUGUCACUUAUAGAUGGAUCCGCGCCGCAUUAGCUAGUUGGUAAGGUAACGGCUUACCAAGGCGACGAUGCGUAGCCGACCUGAGAGGGUGAUCGGCCACACUGGAACUGAGACACGGUCCAGACUCCUACGGGAGGCAGCAGUAGGGAAUCUUCCGCAAUGGGCGAAAGCCUGACGGAGCAACGCCGCGUGAGUGAUGAAGGUCUUCGGAUCGUAAAACUCUGUUAUUAGGGAAGAACAAAUGUGUAAGUAACUAUGCACGUCUUGACGGUACCUAAUCAGAAAGCCACGGCUAACUACGUG